rnacentral:rRNA from 1 species
UACAGAGGGGGCAAGCGUUGUUCGGAAUUACUGGGCGUAAAGGGCGCGUAGGCGGCCCUCUAAGUCAGACGUGAAAUCCCUCGGCUCAACCGGGGAACUGCGUCUGAGACUGGAAGGCUUGAAUUCGGGAGAGGGAUGUGGAAUUCCAGGUGUAGCGGUGAAAUGCGUAGAUAUCGAGCGGAACACCAGUGGCGAAGGUGAGUCCCUGGACAAUUCCUGACACUGAGGCACGAAAGCUAGGGGAGCAAACAGG